CCAACCAGUGGCCCCGUGCAAGUGGACAGACCUCCUCUUCACCAAGUUAUGAGAACUCCCUUCACUCGCUGAAAAACAGAGUCCAUCAGCAGUUACAUGAGCAUCUCCAGGAUGCCAUGUCUUUCUUAAAGGAUGUCUGCGAGUCUCGAAUGGAGGAUCGUCUGGACAGAUUGGAUGAUGCAAUCCUUGUUUUGAGGAACCAUGCAGUGGGCUCCACCGCCAGUCUGCCCAGUGACUUACACAGCCUGCUGGGACAGGCUCAGAAUGGACCAAUAACAGCCAUCGGACAAAACUUUCCUGCCUCGUCACUAGUUCUAAGUCGGACUGCAACAAUGGUAUGAGAACUUAACGUUAAUAUUUUCGUUUUUCUUUUGCCAAAGGCUCAACCACCUGCUCAGAACUGG